UGGGGAAUAUUGCACAAUGGGCGCAAGCCUGAUGCAGCCAUGCCGCGUGUGGGAAGAAGGCCUUCGGGUUGGAAAGCACUUUCAGCGGGGAGGAAGGCGGUGAGGUUAAUAACCUCAUCGAUUGACGUUACCCGCAGAAGAAGCACCGGCUAACUCCGUGCCAGCAGCCGCGGUAAUACGGAGGGUGCAAGCGUUAAUCGGAAUUACUGGGCGUAAAGCGCACGCAGGCGGUCUGUCAAGUCGGAUGUGAAAUCCCCGGGCUCAACCUGGGAACUGCAUUCGAAACUGGCAGGCUAGAGUCUUGUAGAGGGGGGUAGAAUUCCAGGUGUAGCGGUGAAAUGCGUAGAGAUCUGGAGGAAUACCGGUGGCGAAGGCGGCCCCCUGGACAAAGACUGACGCUCAGGUGCGAAAGCGUGGGGAGCAAACAGG
rnacentral:rRNA from 1 species